ensembl:lncRNA
CUGGAGGAUUUAGACCUGGUGGUGCCGGGACAGGUCCUGGAGGAUUUGGACCUGGAGGAUUUGGACCUGGUGGUGCUGGGACUGGUCCUGGAGGAUUUGGACCUGGUGGUGCGGGGACUGGACCUGGUGGACAAGGAUUAGGACUGAGAAAACCAUCUAAAUCUGGCUAUGGGUCAUCUCUGGGUGGUGCUGGCUAUGGCCCAGGGAGUGGGACAGGCACUGGAACAAGACCUGGUGGUACUGGGACAGGACCUGGAGGAUUUGGACCUGGUGGUACUGGGACAGGACCUGGAGGAUUUGGACCUGGUGGUGCCGGGACAGGGCCUGGAGGAAUUGGACCUGGUGGUGCUGGGACAGGGCCUGGGGGAUUUGGACCUGGAGGUGCUGGGACUGGACCUGGAGGAUUCGGGCCUGGUGGUGCUGGGACAGGACCUGGAGGGUUCGGACCUGGUGGUGCUGGGACUGGACCUGGAGGCUUUGGACCUGGUGGUGCUGGGACUGGACCUGGAGGCUUUGGACCUGGUGGACAAGGACUCGGACUGAGAAAACCUCCAAAAUCUGGUUAUGGAGGAGCUGGAUUUGACACUGG